rnacentral:tRNA from 4 species
CGCGGGAUGGAGCAGCUCGGUAGCUCGUCGGGCUCAUAACCCGAAGGUCGUUGGUUCAAAUCCAGCUCCCGCAACCA